rnacentral:rRNA from 1 species
GACGAACGCUGGCGGCGUGCCUAAUACAUGCAAGUCGAACGCAUUUUCUUUCACCGUAGCUUGCUACACCGAAAGAAAAUGAGUGGCGAACGGGUUAGUAACACGUGGGUAACCUGCCCAUCAGCGGGGGAUAACACUUGGAAACAGGUGCUAAUACCGCAUAAUUCCAUUUACUGCAUGGUAGAUGGAUGAAAGGCGCUUUUGCGUCACUGAUGGAUGGACCCGCGGUGCAUUAGCUAGUUGGUGGGGUAACGGCCUACCAAGGCUGCGAUGCAUAGCCGACCUGAGAGGGUGAUCGGCCACACUGGGACUGAGACACGGCCCAGACUCCUACGGGAGGCAGCAGUAGGGAAUCUUCGGCAAUGGACGCAAGUCUGACCGAGCAACGCCGCGUGAGUGAAGAAGGGUUUCGGAUCGUAAAACUCUGUUGUUAGAAAAGAACAAGGAUGAGAGUGGAAAGUUCAUCCCUUGACGGUAUCUAACCAGAAAGCCACGGCUAACUACGUG